UAGUUUUUUAAAAUCCCGUGGGAACUCUUUGAUUUUCCGGGAUAAAAAGUAGCCUAUUUCACUCCCCAGGUCUUUAGGUAUAGUCAUACCUAAUAUUUAUUCAUGCAAAAACUCACGACGAACCGUUGCUCUGUUGUGCCAUGAUUCAAGAACAAACC